rnacentral:sRNA from 1 species
GUGGGUCGAGCUGGGGCGCAGCUCGCAUGGGGGAGUCUAUCCCGCUGGCCGCCCCGGUCCCGGUGGAACAGGCGGUGCUGGAGACGUUCUUCUCUCACCUGGGUAUCUUCUCUUACGACAAGGCUAAGGACAAUGUGGAGAAGGAACGAGAGGCCAACAAGAGCGCGGGGGGCAGCUGGCUGUCGCUGCUGGCGGCCUUGGCGCACCUGGCCGCGGCCGAGAAGGUCUAUCACAGCCUCACCUACCUGGGGCAGAAACUAGUCGCAGGCUCGACUCGGCAUUCCCAGAUCUCCUCCCACCGUUCCUUUCCUUCCCUAGGCUUCCACAAGCCCCGCCCACCGGCCUGCGCUGCUGAUAGAUUGGCGAACUGGGUAGAUGCUCUUUGCAGGGCUGUGACCCAAACCGAAGGGUUUGCCCUUUUGCCUCGUGCAUGGAUUGAUGCCAUAAAUGAGAAGUUAACCAAACUAUGUCUUCAUUGUUUUAAUUAGUGACGCUGCAGCCAGAAGAGCAAAACUUUGCGAAACAACCUAGUUCUAUUGCUGAACACUGUUGUGUGGCCUCUUAAGGUUAAGGCCCGAGAGUCACAUUUGGAGUCCUACCCCGUCUUCAUAGUCCCCCAAUACAUAUUUAAUGACUAAAGUAAUAAAUGAAUAUUGGGCAGGAAAG